GGGCUCGACACGGGGUGUCCUGCUUUGCAGGGCUGAGAGCACACCCGUUGAACCUGAUCCAGUUCACACUGGCGAAGGGAUGUCAGAAGGUGCGCUG
rnacentral:ncRNA from 2 species